CCACACUCUGACUGCACUGCCAACUCUGUCUAUCCCCAUGGAAAGCAAACCUACUAUCUAGGAAGAUCUCCGGGUUCUUUUGUAGGGACCCUGUUAUCUACUGUAACAACAUAGAGGUCCUGAAGUACAAAGCUGUCACCUUUAUUAAAUACAACAGAGAAUUAUUAGUAAUCAAGAUAAUAAAAAGUUUAUUUGGUCUAAUUUUAUCAUUUUGAGGAAAAACUCAUGAAGUUGGCACUUUCAUAUAUUAAAAUUCAUCAAAGGACUUCAACUUGUUUUUAUCAUUACUCAAUAUUAAUAAGACAACUGAUCAAACCAUGCCCAUUAAAUGAGUGUUUUUAGAGACAGAAUUCUCUGAUGAACUUGGAGCACACCCAUCUGGAUAGGCUCGCCAGCCAGUGAGCCCCGGGGACCUUCCUAUCUGUCUCCCCUGUGGCAGGAGCCGCCAGAUCCCACUUUAAGGACUCUCACAUGUUCCUGUUGAUGGAUUCUAGAAAAUGGGCCACUGCGUGGAGAUUACAUGUGAAGAACAGAGAAGCUCAAAGAAAUGGGCUUAGGCUGAGGGAAGAAUUCCUCAGUGAAUGACUGCUGCACGAUCAGCAGAGAUGAGAAUGGGAUUUUCACAUCAUUGCACGUUCUGUAUCAGCCGGCAAAGAUACAAGGGCUAACGUCCGGAUGCAGGAAUAUCACCUUACCUGGCAAAAAGUUCGCAGAAGUGACUAAGUUUCAGGUUCUUCACUGAAUUAUCAGAUACAAGCUGAAGGUGCCGUUUUAGACCACAUGACUGAGGUCAGAGAUAGAUCAGCUAAAUACCGGGGAGACUGGGUAACUUGCCUAAAGUCAUAAAGCGGACUGGAAGGAUAAUUAGUCAUGGAGACAGGAAAGGCACUGUGGGGACAGCAUGACUCCAGGACCCUCUUCGGCACCUUCUCUGUGCCACACUAUCCUGAGAUUGUCACUCCUCGGAACGCUCUCCUUGUUGGGAAUAGGAGCCACAGCUGCUAAAAAAGGAAGUGGACCGGA